rnacentral:rRNA from 1 species
AUGAACGCUGGCGGCGUGCUUAACACAUGCACGUCGAGCGAGAAGUUUUGAAAAGAUUCUUCGGAUGAAAUUUAAAAUGGAAAGCGGCGGACGGGUGAGUAACGCGUAGGCAACCUGCCCCAUACAAAGGGAUAGCAUUUGGAAACGAAUAUUAAUACCUUAUGAAACUUAACUAGUGCAUGCUAGGUAGGUCAAAGAUUUAUCGGUAUGGGAUGGGCCUGCGUCUGAUUAGCUAGUUGGUGAGGUAACGGCUCACCAAGGCGACGAUCAGUAGCCGACCUGAGAGGGUGAACGGCCACAUUGGAACUGAGACACGGUCCAAACUCCUACGGGAGGCAGCAGUGGGGAAUAUUGCACAAUGGGGGAAACCCUGAUGCAGCAACGCCGCGUGAACGAUGAAGGCCUUUGGGUCGUAAAGUUCUGUUCUAGGUGAUGAAAACUGACAGUAACCUAGGAGAAAGCCCCGGCUAACUCCGUG